GAUGAACGCUGGCGGCGUGCCUAAUACAUGCAAGUCGAACGAAACUUCUUUAUCACCGAGUGCUUGCACUCACCGAUAAAGAGUUGAGUGGCGAACGGGUGAGUAACACGUGGGCAACCUGCCCAAAAGAGGGGGAUAACACUUGGAAACAGGUGCUAAUACCGCAUAACCAUAGUUACCGCAUGGUAACUAUGUAAAAGGUGGCUAUACUACCGCUUUUGGAUGGGCCCGCGGCGCAUUAGCUAGUUGGUAGGGUAAAGGCUUACCAAGGCAAUGAUGCGUAGCCGAAUUGAAAGGUUGAUCGGCCACAUUGGGACUGAGACACGGCCCAAACUCCUACGGGAGGCAGCAGUAGGGAAUCUUCCACAAUGGGCGAAAGCCUGAUGGAGCAACGCCGCGUGGGUGAAGAAGGUCUUCGGAUCGUAAAACCCUGUUGUUAGAGAAGAAAGUGCGUGAGAGUAACUGUUCACGUUUCGACGGUAUCUAACCAGAAAGCCACGGCUAACUACGUG
rnacentral:rRNA from 1 species